rnacentral:rRNA from 1 species
UACAGAGGGGGCAAGCGUUAUUCGGAAUUAUUGGGCGUAAAGGGCGCGUAGGCGGCCUGGCAAGUGGAUGGUGAAAUCCCUCGGCUUAACCGAGGAACUGCCAUCCAGACUGCUUGGCUUGAGACCGGGAGAGGUGAGUGGAAUUCCCAGUGUAGCGGUGAAAUGCGUAGAUAUUGGGAGGAACACCAGUGGCGAAGGCGGCUCACUGGACCGGUACUGGACGCUGAU